rnacentral:snoRNA from 1 species
UGGACAGCAGCAUCAAUCUGGGAACUUGUUAGAAACGCAGUUUCUCUGUAAAUGUCCUAGAUAAAUAUAGUAGCAUUCUGUUCACCCCUUUGCAAGUAAAAAGGGUGGACCAUUCCACUACUGACAUAU